rnacentral:misc_RNA from 1 species
GGAGAAUUGAAGCUUGCUUUAAUUCUUAGUGUCGCACGGGUGAGUAACGCGUGGGUAACCUGCCCUUAAGUGGGGGACAACAGUUGGAAACGACUGCUAAUACCGCAUAAAGUUAAGAGUCUGCAUGGACUAUUAACCAAAGGAGUAAUCCGCUUUUGGAUGGACCCGCGUCUGAUUAGCUAGUUGGUGAGGUAACGGCUCACCAAGGCGACGAUCAGUAGCCGGCCUGAGAGGGUGAUCGGCCACACUGGGACUGAGACACGGCUCAUACUCCUACGGGAGGCAGCGGUGGG